AUUGAACGCUGGCGGCAUGCCUUACACAUGCAAGUCGAACGGUAACAGGUCUUCGGAUGCUGACGAGUGGCGAACGGGUGAGUAAUACAUCGGAACGUGCCCGAUCGUGGGGGAUAACGAGGCGAAAGCUUUGCUAAUACCGCAUAUGAUCUACGGAUGAAAGCGGGGGAUCUUCGGACCUCGCGCGGACGGAGCGGCCGAUGGCAGAUUAGGUAGUUGGUGGGAUAAAAGCUUACCAAGCCGACGAUCUGUAGCUGGUCUGAGAGGAUGAUCAGCCACACUGGGACUGAGACACGGCCCAGACUCCUACGGGAGGCAGCAGUGGGGAAUUUUGGACAAUGGGCGAAAGCCUGAUCCAGCCAUGCCGCGUGCAGGAUGAAGGCCUUCGGGUUGUAAACUGCUUUUGUACGGAACGAAAAGCCUCUUUCUAAUAAAGAGGGGUCAUGACGGUACCGUAAGAAUAAGCACCGGCUAACUACGUG
rnacentral:rRNA from 1 species